rnacentral:rRNA from 1 species
GAUGAACGCUAGCGGCAGGCCUAACACAUGCAAGUCGAGGGGCAGCACGGAUUGCUUGCAAUCUGGUGGCGACCGGCGCACGGGUGCGUAACGCGUAUACAACCUACCUUUUGGAGGGGAAUAGCCCAGAGAAAUUUGGAUUAAUACCCCAUAGUAUAUAGGAAUCUCCUGAUUUUUAUAUUAAACAUUUAUGGCCAUUAGAUGGGUAUGCGUCCUAUUAGCUAGUUGGUGUGGUAACGGCACACCAAGGCUACGAUAGGUAGGGGUCCUGAGAGGGAGAUCCCCACACUGGUACUGAGACACGGACCAGACUCCUACGGGAGGCAGCAGUGAGGAAUAUUGGACAAUGGGCGAGAGCCUGAUCCAGCCAUGCCGCGUGCAGGAAGACUGCCCUAUGGGUUGUAAACUGCUUUUACAGAGGAAGAACCACCCCCACGUGUGGGGGUUUGACGGUACUCUGCGAAUAAGGAUCGGCUAACUCCGUG